ensembl:misc_RNA
UUGGCAGCCCGAGACACUGACAUCCUCUAUUUAUUCACAAAAGCAGGUACACUAUAGACAGCAGCAGUGCAAGCUCUUCCUGUACCAGCCUGUUAACAGGUGUCAAUCCUUACAUGCAGAAACCAUCGCUAAGGGCAGGUGGGUACCAACUUCCAGGUACAGCACUUUUCUAGGCUACC